UGCUUCCUGACCGGGUGCUGAGCACACCCUCUGUGCAGCUGGUGCAGAGCUGGUAUGUCCAGAGCCUCCUGGACAUCAUGGAGUUCCUGGACAAGGAUCCCGAGGACCAUCGCACCCUGAGCCAGUUCACUGACGCCCUGGUCACCAUCCGGAACCGGCACAAUGAUGUGGUACCCACCAUGGCACAAGGUGUGCUUGAGUACAAGGACACCUAUGGCGAUGACCCCGUCUCCAACCAGAACAUCCAGUACUUCCUAGACCGCUUCUACCUCAGCCGCAUCUCCAUCCGCAUGCUCAUCAACCAGCACACCCUCAUCUUUGACGGCAGCACCAACCCAGCCCAUCCCAAACACAUCGGCAGCAUCGACCCCAACUGCAACGUCUCUGAGGUGGUCAAAGAUGCCUACGACAUGGCUAAGCUCCUGUGUGACAAGUAUUACAUGGCCUCACCUGACCUGGAGAUCCAGGAGAUCAAUGCAGCCAACUCCAAACAGCCGAUUCACAUGGUCUACGUCCCCUCCCACCUCUACCACAUGCUCUUUGAGCUCUUCAAGGUGAGGAGGCUGG
rnacentral:sRNA from 1 species